AGUUUGAUCAUGGCUCAGAACGAACGCUGGCGGCAUGCCUAACACAUGCAAGUCGAACGAACCCUUCGGGGUUAGUGGCGCACGGGUGCGUAACACGUGGGAAUCUGCCCUUUGCUUCGGAAUAACAGUUAGAAAUGACUGCUAAUACCGGAUGAUGUCGUAAGACCAAAGAUUUAUCGGCAAAGGAUGAGCUCGCGUAGGAUUAGGUAGUUGGUGGGGUAAAGGCCUACCAAGCCGACGAUCCUUAGCUGGUCUGAGAGGAUGAUCAGCCACACUGGGACUGAGACACGGCCCAGACUCCUACGGGAGGCAGCAGUGGGGAAUAUUGGACAAUGGGCGAAAGCCUGAUCCAGCAAUGCCGCGUGAGUGAUGAAGGCCUUCGGGUUGUAAAGCUCUUUUACCAGGGAUGAUAAUGACAGUACCUGGAGAAUAAGCUCCGGCUAACUCCGUG
rnacentral:rRNA from 1 species